ensembl:lncRNA
GGCAGCUCCGUUCAGUUGCGCAUGGACGGAUUUCAGGAUCGCCUUACGCUCUGCUGCAGAAUUUAAGGUGGAACGGAAUUUCGAUAAGGAGGCUGGGCGACUAGGCGCUGACAUUAGCCUCGUAAAAAUAUCAGGCCAUUAAAUGAACGACGCGCGUUUCUGAGGGUGGAUUUAACCCCAUUUAACCCCAUGUUAAUACUGGGGAUUAAUAAAAUAUACAAGGAGGAUAUUUCGACCCCCAGCUGUGAGAAAUGGCAGCUGUGAGCUCUUCAGAGCCGCUGUGUCUCCCGUGUGGGUACAGUUCCAGCUUUAAAGUUGAGCUGUACGUGAAAAAGCCCCUGAUGCUCAUCCAGCUGAGCCCUGAGCAGGUAGCACUGGAGAUGCUGAGCCUGUGCAGCCAGCUGGACCUUCUCAUCAGGGCUCAGGUCCAUCAGUUUCAGGGGCAGCUUAAGCAAGACACAAGCCCUGAAGAAUCUGAAACUUUCCAAAAACAAGGAGCUGAGAUUAUAGAUCAGAUGAACCAGUGCCUCGAACACCUGCCUAAACCCGCACCACUGCUAGAGGAUUACUUGGACAUCGCCGGGUUGUCUGUUAUGUUUCCUCGAGUAGAAGUUUACAUUAUCCACGGCAGCCCUGUAGAUAUGCUGGAGCUACCACCUCUGGAUGGGUAUUUCCCUCACCUUGGGAAGCUGAACCAGUUGGUGGUUCUGAGUCAGCAGCUAGAAGACGAUGUAAAGCACCUAGGGAGCCACAAGUACAUCGCUCAUCAGCUUGCAGUUGUAUAUCAAGUGAUAAACUCUCUCAGUGACACAUUACCACUGAUCACUAUAAAGAGGGAUAUUGAGGCCAACUUUAAGAAGAUGAAGAUGUCUUUAGUGACAGAGGAGGGGUCCAAGCAAGAGCCGCAGUUGUCAGCCCAGUACAUCAACUGGAUAUCACAGUUAACACACAACAUCAUAUCAACUGUAUCCUCACUCACAGAAGAAGUCUCUGAGGAACUCAGCCCAGUCAUGUCAUUCGUCUCCAAGUGGUCCUGACAGAACUCUUCCUUAGUCUGUAGGCAGCUUAAUAAGUAGGAGGAAAUUCAUUGUUACUGCUCAGUAGAAAUAUAACAUAGAAGUAACAUACUGUUAUUCCCAGAUAAUAAGUUGUUCAUAAAAGAGGGGAGAAGAGAGGAAGACCAUUCACUACUGUAUAAUCAGUAUUACUUGCACUAGAGUUUAGUUUCAUGAUAAGAACCACUUACACCACUGCCCUGAAAAAUUCUCUGCAGUCAUCUAGACAUAAUUAGUGAGACAGAACAGAUUGUGCGAAUGACUAGAUGCAGCCAUGAAUCACAUAUGCUACUGUUAAUGAUGCCAAUAUCCUUUUUGUUCUGUUGUUUCUGUUCAGUUAUUUAUGGUGCUAACAAUAUUUAACAGUUACAUUUCCAAUACAAUUAAACAUCUGUAAUUUCACAUGAGACUCACUUUCUUCAUUUUAUGCUCCUUAAUCUGAUGAAUUGACUAAAAUAAUGAAUCUGGGACCUUAAUCAGACCUUAAUUACAGAAUUAUAUAGACCUAUAUCCAUUAUAUCCAGCAUUCAGAUGAAAAGGGACACAUACACUAUAUAAACAACAACCUGCAAGGGUUUAAGUGUUGAGUGUUAAGCAGAAGCAGUUUACAAUAGGAACUGUCAGAAUCAUUUUAUUCUCCUCUUGUUACGGACACGCACCCAACUGGGAAACUCUGGGCUUUUAUAAAACAGAUCAUAAUAUUUUUUUUUUCAUUUUUCUUCAUCUUUGUAUUAGUGC